CCUACGGGUGGCAGCAGUGAGGAAUAUUGGUCAAUGGUCGGGAGACUGAACCAGCCAAGCCGCGUGAGGGAUGAAGGUACAGAGUAUCGUAAACCUCUUUUGACAGGGAACAAAGGCGGGGACGUGUCCCCGGAUGAGUGUACCUGAAGAAAAAGCAUCGGCUAAGUCCGUGCCAGCAGCCGCGGUAACCCGGAGGAUGCGAGCGUUAUCGGGAUUUAUGGGGGUAAAAGGGGGCGCAGGGGGUCUGUUAAGUCACCGGGCAAAGCCCGGUGCUCAACCCGGGCCCGCCGUUGAAACUGGCAGUCUCGAGUUGGAGAGAGGUAUGCGGAAUGCGCGGUGUAGCGGUGAAAUGCAUAGAUAUCGCGCAGAACUCCGAUUGCGAAGGCGGCAUGCCGGCUCCACACUGACGCUGAGGCACGAGAGCGUGGGUAUCGAACAGGAUUAGAUACCCGUGUAGUC
rnacentral:rRNA from 1 species